GUUCUACAUUCGUCACAAAUCUAUUUCGUCCCUCACUGUUAAACCCUAGAUUUUCUUCUUCUUUCUCAAAAUCUUUCAAUGGCGUCCGCAGAUGUUGAGUUCCGGUGCUUCGUUGGAGGUCUAGCCUGGGCCACCGAUGACAGAGCUCUUGAGACAGCCUUCUCUCAAUACGGCGACGUUGUUGAAAUUGGGGCAAAAAGAAAACCAAAAUUUCUCACUUGUUCUUGUUAGAGAGAGAGAGAGAGAGAGAUCGCCGGAGAUGGGUUACGGAUGGGCGAUCUUCGAGGGGAUAGUGGUGAUGGGAUCUCUGUGUCUGUUAGGAUUGGCCGGUCUCUGGUUUCUCAAUCGGAGGCUUUACAAGGAGUAUGAAGAGAAGCGAGCCUUGGUUCAAAUCAUUUUCAGCAUCGUCUUCGUCUUCUCUUGCAACCUCUUACAGCUCGUUCUCUUCGAAAUCAUCCCUGUUUUAUCUCGAGAGUAAGCUUUUCGACGAACAGAUGAGAACAGAUGAAUCUCUUCUGAUUCUUUAGAUUUCAAUCGAUUCACCUUGAUUUUUCUGGUUCCAAUCGUUAUUAAUCUCGAUAUGACGUUUCGGAUUUGACGGCAAUUGAUCUCCGAUGGACUUACGGGGACGGCGAGAGGACUGGGAGGGGACGGCGAAGGGCACCAGCAAGCUCUUGGCAGAAGAUUCUGCUUUGAAGAGAUUCAGUCCCACAAGAAAAGUGUGCACAAACUUAAGAGGAUUGGAGAUGUGCUCACAGUCGUUGUUCUUGCAGCCAGCAGGAUCGAAGUAGCAAGAAUAUCAAAAGCAAACAAAUCUUCACUCUUUAGAAACACAAAAAGAACCGAUCUUCUUUUGUAGGCUGUUCCAACUGCAAAGGGCCAAGCUUUGGCUGAUGAGUAUGGAAUCAAUUUCUUUGAGAUGAGUGCAAAAACAAACCUAAAUGCAGAGGUAAGAACUGCAGGAAUCUACUACAAUUACUCGGUACUGACAUUAUAGCUGAAUGUUGAAUGUUGUUUUUAUUGUGAAGUUGUAUCUCUUUCCUGGUCUCUAUAUAUAUCGAACCACCAUUGUACUAAACCUAUCAUUCUCAUCCUCUCUUUCCCUCUUGUAAACUUUAGAAUCUUGGUUUCUCUGUAUUUCUUGUUCUUUAAAGAUAGUUCGUGACUAUGCUCAGUUCGAGAUGAAUUGUACUUGGGUAUGUAAAACAUUGAUUUGUCUAUUUUCAAAGUUAUGGUUGAUGGUUAA